rnacentral:rRNA from 1 species
CGGUAACAGCUCAAAUUUGAAAUCUGGCUCUUCCGGAGUCCGAGUUGUAAUUUGUAGAAGAUGCUUUGGGUUGUGGGUUCGGCCUAAGUUCCUUGGAACAGGACGUCAUAGAGGGUGAGAAUCCCGUAUGUGGCCGAGGCCCGCGCCUAUGUAAAGCUCUUUC